ACACUCUGUAGGGGCUCCAGCCCAGGAGCUGUUACAGCGCUUACCUGCGAGAGCCGAAGAGCCAGAAGCAUGGACCAGAAGCCUGCUGCUAUUGGAACCCCAGGGAGUGUCUGGUGCUGAGGAGCCUGGAGACCCCGGUACCAUAUAGACCAUUGCUGCAGGAGAGCUGAAGUGCUGUCCUUUGCAAGAGGGUUGUGACUUCCAUCAGCAUGAUGUAGCUGGACUUGUAAAAUGAAAGGGAAGGUACUGAAACAAAUCAACCCACGCUUCUUCCUGGAGCAUUUUGAAGGACGAGCUAGGCUCCUACUGUGUAUAAUAACAGUCUCCUGCAACGUACCUGCCAGUCCCUCAGCUUAUUAUCAUCCGAGCAUUUGAUUCGCAUGCACUCAACUCCAUCCUCUGAGCUGCUAAUGGAAAUAUUGACUGAUAUUGGACCCAGAACAGACCCUGGCAGGAAUAGCUAUAUCCACUCACCACUGAACAGCUGAUUGAGGGUGGGGAACAUCUCUGAGCCUUGGCUAGGAUGGCAGAGGCUGAUAUCAACAUGGUGCGACUCGAUCUUGACAUGGGGGAACCAAGGAGGUGAAGCAAGGGGAAGGACUGCUGAGGAGGGAAAUGGGGACCCAGUUGGAGGCUGCACAGAGGUAAAAAAGGCAGGAAGGAAAGAGAAGGUGGUUGAGGAGUCAGAAGGGAGGUUUCUUCCCUCAUCUUUAUUUUCUUUUUUUAUUUAAUUUAAAAAGCCCCCAGAUAAUUCAAUGCAAAAGGACCAUCCCUAUGGGUGGCUGGCUUUCUUGCCCCUUCCUCUGAACCACCUAGCACUGGCUGGUAUGAGAAGCUAGUGGGGCAGUGGAUCUGAUCCCGUCUGGCAGCUCCUGGGUUUUGAUGAAACUUUUGAGGGCAAAGUUCCGAGCAUGGGAAGCGCCUGCUAUUGCUGACGUCAUGCAGUGUUCCUUGGCCCAUCGCUCAGCACACGUUGGAGGCGACAGCCUGGUGAUGCUUUACUUCACUGCACAUGCCCAAAGACCCCAUGCCCUGGAAAUGGGGGAUGCACUGGCCUUGUGGGCUUGAACCAAUUUGGGUUUUAACCCCAUCAUUGGUGUGAUUCUGACCUUGCAGUUGAAGGGCCUCUGACGAGCCCCUCUGGUGCUCACCUGUGCCUGCACUCAUCUGGCGCAAACAGCUGCUCACCUGUUGUCAGCGUUCCAAUCCCAGUCUGUGCGCUGUCAGCAGUCCAGCACCGGUGUGAGCUGGUGGAAAUCUAGCUCUUGCAUGGGCAGAGGGGUUGGGCUAUCAAAAGUGUGCACAGAGGCAUUAGACACAGACUAGUGUUUGCACCUGCCAUGGGGAAGAGCAGGUCUGGAUGUGCCCACACAGAUCUGGCCAUGCUAAGUGGAGGCUGCCGCUUGAAAAUGCUCCUGCUGUGUCGUCUCCUUGCAAUGAGCCAUUGUCCCUGUUCCAGCGCAGUGGGAAGUGCUCUCCCCACAUGUGCAAUGUUACUUCCGAGCCAAAAGCAACAGCAGAAGGAUGUGAAAAUAAAAUUAAGUGAAAGCAUGAGAAUGCAAACAGGCUGAAAGCGAGGAAAUACCAGAGGGGAUCGUUCCUGCAGUGUCAAAACACCCUAACUGCACACGCAGCACUGUUUUUAGUGGACAUACAAUGGACUGUGUAUAAUGCCACACAGUGUGAGAUGGGCUAGGGAGAUUUAGCACUGCCCCGGAAACCUUACAGUUGCAUUCCUGACUUUGUGUGUGUCAAAUAUCUCCACUACCAAGCUGUAUCAGCCUGGGGUGGGGUGCGAGUGUGGUGUUGAGCUCCUGCAAUGUCGGGCACAGAUGGGCCCUGGAAGAGUGCCAGGUUUAAGCACAAGCUGGACAUGACAAAGUUGAUGUUGAUUGGCAGGGGAAAGCAAUGAGGAACUAUCCACGUCCCUGACCGCUACAUCAAUUGAGGUCAGACAUGUGCUCUGUAUCAGUGUGUUCCACAAUCCCCAGAUCCAUCUCUGCUCCUAGAUUCCCCAAUGACAAAAAUGGCCAGAGACUUCCCCCCACCCCUGCUCUUUUCAUCUGGUCAAAAGUUUGUGCUCUCAGAUGAAGCCCUCCCCUCAGUCAUCAGUCACCGCUCAGUGAAACCCUCCAAAGUCUACCCCUGCAGGCCACCUGGGAAUAUCCACUAGUGCAGGAGGUGGCAGCCUGUCU